AGGUUCUUUCUUUAUUAUUGGUGUGUGUGAACCAAAAAAGUAGAAAUAUUCUAUCCAACCCCCGGUUCCCUAACCGCACGCCACACUCCUGACGUGGCCGAAUCCGGUUCUACUCCACGUCACGGUUUAUCAAAUAUCCCUCCCGAGCUGCUUCAAUCUCCCUCUUCUCCCUCUAUCUCACUCGACGCAUACCCUUCUCAGUUCUCCCUCAGACUCACUCGACGCAUCUCCCUCUUCUCUCUCAACCUCUCACCCUCGUUCUCCCUCAGACCUCUCAACUCUCCCUCUUCUCCCUCUCGAAUCUCAGAGUGAACUCUCACACGCCUUCUUUCUCACCCCGACGCCCUCACCCCAAUCAGUCCCGAACCCUAGAAAAAUUCAGCAACCCGAAGCCAUUCUCUCUCUCACCCCUUCAGCCCCGAGCCACUGGACCGAUUCACCACAACUUUUGAAGACCCAUCUCCCUCACCCCCUUCAGUAGAAGGAAUCUUCGUCAAAGGGAUUUUUUUUUCCAAUUCGUUUUAAAAGUUAAGCACUUGUAGUCAAUCCAAGCUUCUGCGAAUCUGAUUUUGAAUUCUAUGCAUUAUUUAAGUGAUUGUGUGAAGGCAUUUUCUGGUCUAUUCUUAAAUUGCUUUCUUUGUUUGGUUUCCUAGAAAGGUGGACAGAAAUGGAGGAAAAAUUAUCUGGAAUGUUUAAUUUUAACUUGAGUCCGCUUGAUUAGAAGUCGGGAAGACCUGGAAGUUGAAUUUUACUUUUUAGUCUGAAAGUAAACAUCUUUUCGAAAAAAAUUUCCUCUCAACAUUCGGUAUUUUGGAGCGGAAUGAAUCAUGUAUUUGAGUGAAUCUUACAUAUUCUUCAUUUUUUUGUUUGAUUUUUUUGCUCUCUUGGAAAAAUAUCACGUUUGUUCUAUUACGGCUAACAAAUAAAGUGAUGAUGAUGAAAACUAAAAGGAAAUUAGCAAGGCCAAACUAUAAAAAGUAGAUCUGAAAGGUAUAAAAUGCUUACUGAUGUCUGCAUUGAUUCCCUCUAUUUUCACUUGCUUCUAAUGUUAAAAGCUCUUAAAUCUGUAGCUAUAACUAAAUAUUUAUCAUAUAAUAGUCACUUUACACUUACUUAAGAAGAAAGAAAGAGGAUUUGUUUAAGAGAGAAAGCCUUAAACCAUCGGUUUAGAGCUUACAAGGUGUAGGUAUGAAAGCUGAAAAAUUCUUGCUGCAGCUGUUGCAUAUUUCUGCUAUUGUUGCUGGCAUAAGUUUAUGGUGAUGAAAACUACUAUUAAGGCUUCUGUUUGACUACUGUGUCUCUCUCUCUUGGAGUUUCUGCAUUUUUUUUGGAGACAACUAAUUCACCACAACCUUUGAAGACCCAUCUGCCUCACCCCCUUUAGUAGAAGAAAUCUUCAUCAAAGAUUGAACAUUCCUUAUUUUGGACACAAGGAGAAACAAAAUGUCAAUUCUUCAUUUGGGCAGAUCUACUUCAAUCUGUAGUAUCUAAGAAGAACCUGACAAGAGAGAAUGAAAUUCGGAAGAGGGAGGAUACUUUAUUGUUGUGUGAGUACGAAGCUCAAAAAGAAAAGGACAAACUAAUAGAGAGAGAGAAUUCGCUGAAGAAGCAAGAAGACGACCUUCAAAGUAGGAUAGUAGAGAAUAGGGUCGUACGUAUAUUGUUGUGUCUAUAUUGGAUUGUAUCUCUUAUUAUAGUUUUUGGUUGGUUUUGACUGUAGAUGUAUAAUGUUAGUUUUAAAUGUAAUUAUGACAGAUCGGAUCCUUACAUGUAUGAUAUAUUAUUUAUGAAUACUCAUAUGACAACUUAUAUGGAUAUUAA